CAGUGACUGCUCCAGCACCAUGCCUGUCUUCUGCCACGCUCUCCCCCAUGAUGGUCACGGCCUCUCACCCUGAGGAACUGCAAGCACCAAAGAAACUCUUUCUUCUGUGCUGGCAUUCCAGGCAUGCACCCCCAGUCCUGGUUUAAAUGGUUUGGGGGAUAGAACCCAGGGCAUGCUAGCCUCGUGAUGGUGUCUACUACAUGACCCAAUCAACCAACCAUCCACCCAUCCAGCACUUCAUCUGUGGUCCACAGGACGUGGCGACUGCCUGCUGCUGAGCCUGGAGUGGGAAGAAAGACCAGCUAGAUGAAGGUUGCCCCUGCCUCUGCUUUCUUCUGAUGGGCAGCCAAUUGUCCCAAUACUAAAUGUGGAGAAAUCCUGUUUCAAAUGCCAACUGGAUCAUAUGAUCAUGAGAGAUAAAGAGAAGAUCCCAGAAGCCUUGAGAAACCGAAAAAGUCAUGCAACAGAGGAUCAAGACUCAGGAUGGCACUGGGUUACUUCUCAUCAACCCAGAAUGCCACAUGCCAAUAAGAGCUGCCUUCAGAAUGUGGAGUGGAGAUGAUUUCCAAACGAGAUUUAUACAGCCAGCCAAACUGUCAAUCAAGGAUCCAAAAACUGAACUUCCCAUAUGCAGUUUUCAAGGAAGCUACUGGCAUGUACAUUAUAACUAAAAGAAGACAGUAAACCAAGCAGGGGGGUGGCUUUGGAGCCGAGCACCAAAGAAGAAGUACAGGAGAGAAGUUAAGGGGUUUCCUGGGAUAAAAGCAGAGGGAAAUUUCAGACUAUCUAUCAGGAAGACAUCUAGGAGGGUGUCUGGUCUAGGUCAGGUGAAGAGGACAAAGAGAUUUAGAAAAACAAAAAAAACCAAAAAACAAAAAUGGAAGUAAUAGGUUACUAAAUGAAUCUGAUUGUAUUGCUGGGGAUUUUAAAACUUUGUGGACAUGUUUGUGGGAAGAGUUAGUAAUACUACUUUAAAGUGUAAGUGAAAAACAGAGGCAAUCACCAACUCCAGGGAAAACAAAAAGCUCAGCAACUACACCUACAACACCUCAUAACUACACCUAGAACACCUCAUAACUACACCUACAACACCUCAUAACUACACCUAUAACACCUCAUAACUACACCUAGAACACCUUGUAACUACACCUACAACACCUCAUAACUACACCUACAACACCUCGUAACUACACCUACAACACCUCAUAACUACACCUACAACACCUCAUAACUACACCUACAACACCUCAUAACUACACCCAGAACACCUCAUAACUGCUCCUACAACACCUCAUAACUACUCCUACAACACCUCAUAACUACACUUACAACACCUCAUAACUACACCUACAACAC